rnacentral:rRNA from 1 species
GUGCCAGCAGCCGCGGUAAUACGGAGGGUGCGAGCGUUGUUCGGAAUUAUUGGGCGUAAAGCGCGUGUAGGCGGCUGUUUAAGUCCGAUGUGAAAGCCCUGGGCUUAACCCGGGAAGUGCAUUGGAAACUGGACAGCUUGAGUACGGGAGAGGGAGGUGGAAUUCCGAGUGUAGGGGUGAAAUCCGUAGAUAUUCGGAGGAACACCGGUGGCGAAGGCGGCCUCCUGGACCGAUACUGACGCUGAGACGCGAAAGCGUGGGGAGCAAACAGGAUUAGAUACCCUGGUAGUCCACGCCGUAAACGAUGGGCACUAGGUGUCGCGGGUAUUGACCCCUGCGGUGCCGAAGCUAACGCAUUAAGUGCCCCGCCUGGGGAGUACGGCCGCAAGGCUAAA